GCGCUUCACAUCCGCGUUUCCUGUCGCCGCUCAGUUCGGAUUGAAAUGGCGAGUUCCAACUCUUUAGGAGAGAUUUAUUAUUAUUUUUAAUUAGCGCCAUCACAUUCCGUAGCGCUGUACAAUUGGUGGACUAACACACAUGUAAUUUUAACCAGACAAUUAGACAGAGAUGUGGAGGGCCCUGCUCAAUGAGCUUACAUUCUAGAGGGAGUGGGGUAUAGUGACACAAAGG